rnacentral:rRNA from 1 species
UACGUAGGGUGCGAGCGUUGUCCGGAAUUAUUGGGCGUAAAGAGCUCGUAGGCGGCCUGUCGCGUCGGUUGUGAAAGCCUCGGGCUUAACCCGAGAAGUGCAUCCGAAACUGGCCGGCUUGAGUACGGAAGAGGGUCUCGGAAUUCCCGGUGUAGAGGUGAAAUUCGUAGAUAUCGGGAGGAACACCAGUGGCGAAGGCGGAGACCUGGGCCGAUACUGACGCUGAGAUGCGAAAGCGUGGGGAGCAAACAGG